rnacentral:rRNA from 1 species
GACGAACGCUGGCGGCGUGCCUAAUACAUGCGAGUAGAACGCACAGUUUAUACCGUAGCUUGCUACACCAUAGACUGUGAGUUGCGAACGGGUGAGUAACGCGUAGGUAACCUGCCUGGUAGCGGGGGAUAACUAUUGGAAACGAUAGCUAAUACCGCAUAAUAUUAAUUAUUGCAUGAUAAUUAAUUGAAAGGUGCAAUUGCACCACUACCAGAUGGACCUGCGUUGUAUUAGCUAGCAGGUGAGGUAACGGCUCACCUAGGCGACGAUACAUAGCCGACCUGAGAGGGUGAUCGGCCACACUGGGACUGAGACACGGCCCAGCCUCCUACGGGAGGCAGCAGUAGGGAAUCUUCGGCAAUGGACGAAAGUCUGACCGAGCAACGCCGCGUGAGUGAAGAAUGUUUUCGGAUCGUAAAGCUCUGUUGUAAGAGAAGAACGGGUGUGAGAGUGGAAAGUUCACACUGUGACGGUAUCUUACCAGAAAGGGACGGCUAACUACGUG